GGAGGGCAAGUCUGGUUAACAUAUUAUCAGCCAGAUGUUGAUAUCAUACUACACACACAACAGAGUACUACUAGUGCUGCUCUCUUGUUGUUGUGGGUGUGUGAUAUUGGCAGAAAGUUGGAGAUAAGCACCAACUGUACACCGUAAAUUGCGGGAAACCCCUAAAGCCUAUUCUACCGCGGCUAUGAGGAUGACUCAUAGUGCAGCAGGUGUGGAUAACGCCCACCGGAUGGUAAUAACGAAUAGGAUGACCUUAGUACCUCCAUAAGCAUAAUAAUAACAAAAGGUCGCAAUGGGCAAUCCGCAGCCAAGCUCCCAUAUGCUGGGAGAAGGUUCAGAGACUAUAAUCGGAUGGGCGCAAGCUUAAGGUAUAGUCCACUCCCACUUCGAAAGAGGUGCUAUAAAACUAUUAAGAAGUUUGCUUACUUCCUAGGGUUUUAUAGAUCCGUUGCUUGUAUAUAUACAACAUACGUGAGUGUGUGGUGUAUACAUCAAUACCCCCAAGGAAAUGCUUGGUUGGAAGAUGGUAGCAAGGGCCAGCAGCCGCGGUAAUUCC
rnacentral:ncRNA from 15 species